AGUUUUCCAUGAACACUCAGACCAAGAAAAAUUUCCCUUUCCUGUAUCCCUAUGGAACCCAGAUCAUAUCACAUAGAUCCAUACCAUAUUAUAUUGAAACCAUCCUUGUAUGUAUCUGAUUUCUCAAUAAACUGUAAACUCUUAAGGAGAAAGGAUUAUAUUUUUGUCUAACCACAGUACUAGGCAAAGAGCCUAGAAAAAGCAAAUGCUCCUUAGAAUUCUGUUAAAUUGAAUGGAACAAAGUUGAAUUCAGUGAGAAUGGAGAUAUUGUGAUCACCCAAAUCUCAAAGAAGAGGAAACUGAGGCUCAGAGAAGUUACAGAGCAAAUCAACCACAGUCUUGGAGCUUGUAAGUGAUGGAGCUGUGCUCAGAAGCCAGCUUCUCUUAUUCCAAAGCCUAUGCUAUUUUAAUAUAGUAGAUGCCUCUGUGAAACAGGAUAUCUUACUAUUCUCUUUAUUUGCAGGAUUUUUCACUCUAAUCUUAAAGUCACUUAGCCAGUUUGCAAUCAGUGUCCUUAUCUAUAACUCAAUGAUAAAAACAGCAAGGCUAAAUGACAGCUGCCAAGAUAAAGGGGUAAAUUGCCAAUUCUCAGGUUGGACUUGUUCUAGAAUAUUAGUGUUGUCAUGCAGAUAAAUAAAAAGUACCCGCCUGUAGAAAAGUCCAUCUCAACUUGUCAAAGUUAAAAAAUUAUCCAAAUCCAAAAACUUCCCCAGAGCUAACCAGAUAUCUCAUGACUCUCUGGCCCUGCAAACAGCAAAAUUUCUCAGCAGCUGCAAAAAAAGAGAGGAACCCAUUGGUGCAGCUGAGCAGAGGGUUACAAAUGGAUUCAUCAGGGGAAAAUGCUAAAAUGCCCACAGGUGUGAGAGGACCCAUACGUUCAGUCUACUCAAGAAUCCACUGGAAAAAAAAUUAAGUUCUCAGAGCAGAGGCAGCCUGCACCCACUCCACAGAUGAUGAAAGAGUGAGAGGAGGCACCCAUGCCUAAUUACAUUAUGGUACUUUCCACAGUGCUGCAUCUGGAGUGAUUUCUCAAGUGUAAAGAUAACAGAAAGUGUGAGAUAAGGAGGGAGGCUGGGCUGCCUCAUUAUGAUGUCACAGAUGUCUUGUGGAACAAUGGGCCCUCAGAAGUGCCUUAUGCUGAGCUUUUUGAGAUAUCACAACAAACUUACAUGAAAAACCCUGGGUACUCCAGCAGGCGUUGACCGAAGAGAAUGAUUCCAUGUUGUUCUUUAUUUCCUUUCCCACACUUACUCUCUGAUCUUUCUUUCAAACAGUUGUCUUGUGCCUGCUCUGGGAAAUGGACUGCGCCAGGUGCCCGUGUUACAAAACUGAAUAGACAGAGUCUGUGUUUUCAAGGAUCUCACCAUCCUGCCAGGGAGGCCAACAUACACAUGACCACAAUAAAGUGUGACAACAAUUGUGAUGAGGUGAUCAACAAAGCACAAGUUGAAAAGUGUGAAAAGAGGACACAAGAGUCUCUCCUAUACAUGGAGAAGGGGGAUGAGUUAGGAAAGAUUUUAGAAAAGGAGUAACAUAUCCUGGGCCUAGAAGGAUAUGAAAAUAGAAGAGAAAAAAUGAAGAGAAGGCAAACUGGUCAGAAGAAACAGUACAAGCAAGGAACAGAGAGGUAAAAAUCCACAGUGUAGAUCAGAAGUGGAGAAUAAUAAAUGCCCUUAUGGAGAACUCAUAAAGUGCCAUACAUUAUACAAAGAA